CAGUAAUAUUAAUGCAUGUUUUACAUAAACCACUUAGGUUUUUAUGACUAAACAGGAUAAAAUAAAAUGAAAUAAAAUACCCAUUCAAACAAAAAUGCAAAGUAAUGAAUGUAAAGGUCACUAAAAUAAACCCAAAGUAACUCUGAGUAUGUUGCUAUGAAGCCUUCAUAACCUGACUGGGGAGAAAUAUAAAAACAAUGCAGGUUCUCUGUUGGAUGAAUCAAUAACAGCCAAUAUCCACUAAAAAAAUUAAUGUGUAUUCCUGUUACUAUGGGUAGCUUACAUUUUUGAGAGCUGAAGACAUUUCUCAUAAACAGACACUUUUUCAGACACAAACAAGCAGUCAAGAGGGAAGAGUCUCAUGGAAAGCCAUAGGUUUCCACAAUAAACAUCAUAUACACAAAGCAUCCUUGCCUGUGCCACAUUCUUUAUGCAGAGAUUAAAAGUUUCUGCAUGAUUGCAAACUUCGAGUUGUCAAAAAUCACAACAGUAUUUAUGCAAAAUACCUAGGAUGAAAUCCUGUUUUCUCUGCAUUAUUUCCAUUAAGUUUGGAUGCAUCAGUUUUACAGAGUUCUAUAUGAAGUCCCCAAACUGUCAAGAAUGAGAAGCUGUAUUUUGCUUCAAAUGCAUAAAAUUGGGUAAUUAUCAAAUAUUUACGUGUUAUGUCUUAAAUCUGUAAACACAAUUGGCCAGAAGAUAAUGAACAAACAAAAAGAUAUUUCUAGAAAAUAUCAAAUGUAAACCGCAGUACCCACCAAAAUAAUGCUGGCAACUGAAAGCCAGUUUCUAUAAGGUUUUAAAGCACUUACUGAUGUUCCUCCUCUUUGGGAAUGUUGUGAGGAAGGACACUUAAAUAGUGAGGUAGCCACUGAGAAUCCUUUCAUGGGAGUGGAUGUACCACAUGGAUAGCAAUUUCCACAGGGCAUUCUCAGUAGAUCAAAAGAGAGCACAAUGGAAAACAGGUAGAAGGAACUGGGAUCUUGGCAAUUCAUCUGGUCAGAAAAUGGGCCACUACUUUUAUGCUUGCUGAAGCAUCCCAGCCGUCUCUGUGGGCAGCCACUUACAUUACAGUAAUCUUCUCUAGAGGUUUUAAAGGAAUGAAAGAUGCAAGAGGGUCAACAGGAUACAAUUAUUCCAAUUAUGCUAGGCAGAGAUUAUAAAAUAGGAGCAUUAGAUUCUCAGUACCAUAUGCAAGCUGAAAGCCAGAAAAACUAGUGGUUUAAAAAGGAGAGAGUGUCCAAGUGCAGAGAAGCAUUGCAGACAAAGUGGCAAAUGGCUGGAGUUGAUAAAAGAAUUCAGCUUCUUCCGAAUGGCCUUUGUGAGCCAGAACUAUUCUGAGUCAGUCAUGUACCGCUGAGCACUAUAUGCUCACUAGAUAAGCGAUUGACUUAAAAUUAUCUCAACGAAUAAAGCCAGGCUAAAUUCCUGACACUGUGAAUUCACACUCUGUAUUCAAUUAGAAGAUCUAACUUUAUUUAAAUAUUGAGUAAUUUGGUCUACAAAAUAGGUGACAAAUUCAGUAUAGAGAGCCAAGAAUGACUCAUCUUCCAGCAGAGACAUCCAGAGUUCACCAGGCCAUACAUCACCCAGAACAGCUUUGCCAGACAGCACUUUGCAAACACUGUGACUGAAGACACGAUAUAUUGCUUUGCGCUGCUGUCACAGUUGGUCAAGGCUAUGUGGACUGUGAAAUUUUAAAAUCCUAUGCCAUCUAAACCCAAUUUCACUGAUCAGAUUUUUCAUUAAACAACUUAAUAAAGUAAGACUUCCAAAAUCCAGCGUUUUAACCAUUUGAAAAAUUAUAAGGACGAGGGAAAGGCGAAGAGCACAGACAGAACGUUUGCAGAGAAAGAGACCAAGAAAUAAUAGCAACAGGAUGGGGCCAAGGGAAUGGGUACAGGGAAUCUAAAGGCAGACAAGAUGGAUACAUGCAUACCAGGCCCACUUGCUCAUUCGACCUCAAGCAUCACAAACUCUCAGAAAAAUCAGCCAUACAUUUUCAAAAUUCUCCUCAAAUCAAUAUGGGUUACAAAAAUUUUUAAAAAAACUAAAGCAUCCCAGAAUAUUGAAUUAUUCAUCAUAGAAGAGACUGCACACUUGCAAUUACCAUAUUCAAUACCAGCAUCCCUAUAUAUACACAGUUAGCAAUGUAAUUAGGACUUCACUCCAUAAAGCCAAUUAGCUACAUUAUCUUUUAGGUACUGCAAAAUAGCAUGAUUCAUAUUUUUUUGGUAAACUGAUGAAAAGGGUGUUGAAGACAGACAAUAAGAGUCAGUGUCUCGCUCCUGUCUCUAUGCAUCAUGCACAUCAUCAGUCUUCUUGUUGUAAUUCCCAUGUGGUAGAGAUGACCAAAGAGUAACAGCUGUCCUCCAGAAUACAUGAAUGGGGAGAGAAAAUGCUCAUGGAAAACUGUGACUAGUUCGGAGGGAGAUGAGAUCCAGAAGAUGCUGCUUGGCAGAAUGGAAUUACAGGCAGAGUGGGCAUCAUCUGGCUUUGACAGCCAGACAAAUCGAAGCAAGCAUAAUGAGAGCUCCACCCUCGGACUUCUGACUCAAAGUUUAACCAUACCACCAAAGGCAAGAGACAUCUCUAAUGGGUUGUGCGGCUAGAAAGCAAAAACCUUCUGUAUAGUCCUACUUGAGCUCAAGCAAGAGAUGAAAGGAAGGAAUAAAUGAGUAGACUUUUCUACACCCUAUGUCCAUCAUUACUCUCACACAGCCUAACAUAGCAUGGUGACAGUUUAGCAUCUAAACUAGUUUGACUUCUCGUCCUCAUCUCUAUUAUUAUUGGGACUAACAUAUACAAUAUACUGUAUCAGAGAAAGGAGGACCUAAAGAUUAUUGCCAAAAGCAAAGCUAACUUUAAUUUAUCCUUUAAAUACAUUAUAGAAAAUUAAAAACAUAGGAUUUCUGAAGUGUCUUUGAGUGCAACAUUGAAAAUGAUGAGGAGAAA